UAAGCUAAUGCUGGGGUGGCAGUAGCAGGCGUGACCAUCCUGUUAAUCUCCUUUCAGUCUGCAAUAGCCUUUCAGCAUGACCAGGGACAACACCUAUGCCCAGCUGUGCCUCAUGUAGAUGCUGUAGGUUUCCCAAACAUCUCACUGUGCAUCUGAAUGAAGAGGGAGGGCAAAUGGGGCAAGGACGAUGAGAAGCAGUUUGCUCCAGCCAGCUUGUAGGAUAUCAGGACAGCACAUAUGGAACAGAAUUUGAGGAUACUGUUCUGACUGCACACAUUAUUCAGUUGGGUGCUGUGUAUCAUGCCAAAGUGUACUGCACUAUGUGAUAGCAGACGUUUCUUCAUUUAAAACAAUUACAUUUGGACCACUUUUGACCACAUUUUCCUAUUUAAAAAAGGUAUCUUGCAGCUGCACGCUGCCACUGACAUUGGAUAGUGUCUAUGGCAUCCGUGGCAACAGGUUGUAGAGCUGAACCUGGCUAUAGAGCUUCAUAUUUUAGUGGAAUGUAAUUUUAAAUACCUGGAUAUUAUAUGCAAUGCUCUCUCUCCCCCCCCCAUCAGCACCCAACUGUGCCUUCAGAAUGAACCACUACUUAAAAUGUUCUACGAAGGCACUCCACACCUCUGAGAAUAGAUCCUUGGCAUUUCUGAAGCUGUACAAAUGUAUUAGAUAGAUGAAAUCAUCAUACAUGGAAAUAAACAGUUUGGUUCACCUCCAG